UACGUAGGUGGCAAGCGUUAUCCGGAUUUAUUGGGCGUAAAGGGAACGCAGGCGGUCUUUUAAGUCUGAUGUGAAAGCCUUCGGCUUAACCGGAGUAGUGCAUUGGAAACUGGGAGACUUGAGUGCAGAAGAGGAGAGUGGAACUCCAUGUGUAGCGGUGAAAUGCGUAGAUGUAUGGAAGAACACCAGUGGCGAAAGCGGCACUCUGGUCUGUAACUGACGCUGAGGUUCGAAAGCGUGGGUAGCAAACAGG
rnacentral:rRNA from 1 species